GACGAACGCUGGCGGCGUGCUUAACACAUGCAAGUCGAACGGAAAGGCCCUGCUUUUGUGGGGUGCUCGAGUGGCGAACGGGUGAGUAACACGUGAGUAACCUGCCCUUGACUUUGGGAUAACUUCAGGAAACUGGGGCUAAUACCGGAUAGGAGCUCCUGCUGCAUGGUGGGGGUUGGAAAGUUUCGGCGGUUGGGGAUGGACUCGCGGCUUAUCAGCUUGUUGGUGGGGUAGUGGCUUACCAAGGCUUUGACGGGUAGCCGGCCUGAGAGGGUGACCGGCCACAUUGGGACUGAGAUACGGCCCAGACUCCUACGGGAGGCAGCAGUGGGGAAUAUUGCACAAUGGGCGGAAGCCUGAUGCAGCAACGCCGCGUGCGGGAUGACGGCCUUCGGGUUGUAAACCGCUUUCGCCUGUGACGAAGCGUGAGUGACGGUAAUGGGUAAAGAAGCACCGGCUAACUACGUGCCAGCAGCCGCGGUGAUACGUAGGGUGCGAGCGUUGUCCGGAUUUAUUGGGCGUAAAGGGCUCGUAGGUGGUUGAUCGCGUCGGAAGUGUAAUCUUGGGGCUUAACCCUGAGCGUGCUUUCGAUACGGGUUGACUUGAGGAAGGUAGGGGAGAAUGGAAUUCCUGGUGGAGCGGUGGAAUGCGCAGAUAUCAGGAGGAACACCAGUGGCGAAGGCGGUUCUCUGGGCCUUUCCUGACGCUGAGGAGCGAAAGCGUGGGGAGCGAACAGGCUUAGAUACCCUGGUAGUCCACGCUGUAAACGGUGGGUACUAGGUGUGGGGUCCAUUCCACGGGUUCCGUGCCGUAGCUAACGCUUUAAGUACCCCGCCAGGGGAGUACGGCCGCAAGGCUAAAACUCAAAGGAAUUGACGGGGCCCCGCACAAGCGGCGGAGCAUGCGGAUUAAUUCGAUGCAACGCGUAGAACCUUACCUGGGUUUGACAUGGAUCGGGAGUGCUCAGAGAUGGGUGUGCCUCUUUUGGGGUCGGUUCACAGGUGGUGCAUGGCUGUCGUCAGCUCGUGUCGUGAGAUGUUGGGUUAAGUCCCGCAACGAGCGCAACCCUUGUUCACUGUUGCCAGCACGUUAUGGUGGGGACUCAGUGGAGACCGCCGGGGUCAACUCGGAGGAAGGUGGGGAUGACGUCAAGUCACCAUGCCCCUUAUGUCCAGGGCUUCACGCAUGCUACAAUGGCUGGUACAGAGAGUGGCGAGCCUGUGAGGGUGAGCGAAUCUCGGAAAGCCGGUCUCAGUUCGGAUUGGGGUCUGCAACUCGACCUCAUGAAGUCGGAGUCGCUAGUAAUCGCAGAUCAGCAACGCUGCGGUGAAUACGUUCCCGGG
rnacentral:rRNA from 1 species